UCACAUACUCAAAAAUAAUACGCGUAACGAAGAAAAUAAAAUAAAUCGAAGUGUAGAGAGGAAAAUAGCGCCUCCAUUGAAGAGAACGCAUCCUAGUCACUCCGAUGAAGUUCUGGGAUUGGUACUUGAAGAUAGCAAUUGGGUCAGCGAUGGUUGGAGGUUCAAUGGAGCUUUUCAUGAUCAAAACCGGUUUCUACGAUAAAGUAGCAGUUUUGGAGUCAGAGAAGAUGGCUUGGGAGAGUUCACCUGAAGCUCAGGCCAUGAGAGAAGCUCUCAAUCCUUGGCGGGAUCAAGAGAAGAAAGCAAGGAAAAGUACCUAGUUGCGUUUUAGAAUGGACCAGUCCGGUUUGCAUAUCCAAUCCGUACUUAGGCAGAGUUACCUUUCUACUAAUAUUGAGUUUGUUCUGAGGCAAUGUCGUCUAAACCGGUGUUGGAAGAUCAGAAUAUCUUGUUUGCUGUUGAUGAAACUUGAUCCCUGCCUUUUGUUGCCGAUUUUAUUGUUGAAUCCAAUUGAUUGGUUUGAGUUAUUGUUGGUAGAUGAUUUUGUGUGUUUUGGAAAUAAUGUGUAGUUUGUUGGCAUUUCCAUUCUGUCAAUGUAGUGCAGUUUGGAGAUUGCAUUUGUUCCUUAAUAAACUACAUAUAAGUUUCAUCUGUUCA